UGUAAACAUCCUACACUCAGCUGUAACACAUGGAUCGGCUGGGAGGUGGAUGUUUACUUC
ensembl:miRNA mdo-mir-30b mdo-mir-30b